ACCCGCUGAACUUAAGCAUAUCAAUAAGCGCAGGAAAAGAAACCAACAGGGAUUACCUCAGUAACGGCGAGUGAAGCGGUAAUAGCUCAAAUUUGAAAUCUGGCCUCUUGGGGUCCGAGUUGUAAUUUGUAGAGGAUGUUUUGGGUACCGCCCCGGUCUAAAUUUCUUGGAACAGAAUGUCAAAGAGGGUGAGAAUCCCGUCUUGGACCGGCGGUAGGGCCUGUGUAAAACUCCUUCGACGAGUCGAGUUGUUUGGGAAUGCAGCUCAAAAUGGGUGGUAAAUUUCAUCUAAAGCUAAAUAUUGGCCAGAGACCGAUAGCGCACAAGUAGAGUGAUCGAAAGAUGAAAAGCACUUUGAAAAGAGAGUUAAACAGUAUGUGAAAUUGUUGAAAGGGAAGCGCUUGCAACCAGACUUGAGCGCGGCGGUUCCCCCGGUCUUUUGGCCGGGCUACUCCGUCGUGUCCAGGCCAACAUCGGUUCUGAGGGUCGGUCAAAGGCCUUGGGAAUGUAUCUACCCACGGGUAGACUUAUAGACCAGGGUGUCAUGCGGCCUCUCGGGACCGAGGAACGCGCUUCGGCUCGGAUGUUGGCGUAAUGGUUGUCAGCGACCCGUCUUGAAACACGG
rnacentral:rRNA from 1 species